rnacentral:rRNA from 1 species
CGUACUGCUCAGUAACACGUGGACAAUCUGCCCUGAAGUGGAGGAUAAUCCCGGGAAACUGGGGGUAAUACUCCAUAGUUCGUGAUGACUGGAAUGUUUUGCGAACGAAAGAUCCGUCGCUUCAGGAUGAGUCUGCGGCCGAUUAGGUAGUUGUUGGGGUAACGGCCCAACAAGCCUGUCAUCGGUACGGGUUGUGGGAGCAAGAGCCCGGAGAUGGAUUCUGAGACACGAGUCCAGGCCCUACGGGGCGCAGCAGGCGCGAAAACUUUACCAUGCGGGCAACCGUGAUAAGGAAACCCCGAGUGCCAGCACAGGCUGGCUGUCCGCCAGUGUAAAUAACUGGUGAAGAAAGGGCCGGGCAAGACCGGUGCCAGCCGCCGCGGUAAUACCGGCGGCUCGAGUGGUGGCCACUAUUACUGGGCUUAAAGGGUCCGUAGCUGGAUAUACAAGUCUCUUGAGAAAUCCGCCGGCUUAACCGGUGGGCGUUCAGGGGAAACUGUAUUUCUAGGGACCGGGAGAGGUGAGAGGUACUGCCGGGGUAGGAGUGAAAUCCUGUAAUCCCGGUGGGGACCACCUAUGGCGAAGGCAUCUCACCAGAACGGGUCCGACAGUGAGGGACGAAAGCUGGGGGAGCAAACCGGAUUAGAUACCCGGGUAGUCCCAGCUGUAAACGAUGCACGUUAGGUGUGUCAGUGACCACGUGUCACUGAGGUGCCGAAAGGAAAACCGUG